rnacentral:snRNA from 1 species
AUACUUACCUGGCAGGGGAAGACAUCAUGAUCACGAAGGUGGUUUUCCCAGAGUGAGGCUCAUCCAUUGCACUGCGGGUGUGCUGACCCCUGCCAUUUCCCCAAGUGCAGGAAACUCAACUGCAUAAUUUGCC